rnacentral:rRNA from 1 species
GAUGAACGCUGGCGGCGUGCCUAAUACACGCAAGUCGAGCGAAUGGAUUAAGAGCUUGCUCUUAUGAAGUUAGCGGCGGACGGGUGAGUAACACGUGGGUAACCUGCCCAUAUGACUGGGAUAACUCCGGGAAACCGGGGCUAAUACCGGAUAACAUUUUGAACCGCAUGGUUCGAAAUUGAAAGGCGGCUUCGGCUGUCACUUAUGGAUGGACCCGCGUCGCAUUAGCUAGUUGGUGAGGUAACGGCUCACCAAGGCAACGAUGCGUAGCCGACCUGAGAGGGGGAUCGGCAACACUGGGACUGAGACACGGCCCGGACUCCUACGGGAGGCAGCAGUAGGGAAUCUUCCGCAAUGGACGAAAGUCUGACGGAGCAACGCCGCGUGAGUGAUGAAGGCUUUCGGGUCGUAAAACUCUGUUGUUAGGGAAGAACAAGUGCUAGUUGGAUAAGCUGGCACCUUGACGGUACCUAACCAGAAAGCCACGGCUAACUACGUGCCAGCCGCCGCGGUAA